rnacentral:rRNA from 1 species
UACGUAGGGCUCAAGCGUUGUCCGGAAUUAUUGGGCGUAAAGAGCUCGUAGGCGGUCUGUCGCGUCGGCUGUGAAAACCCGAGGCUCAACCUCGGGCCUGCAGUCGAUACGGGCAGACUAGAGUGCUGUAGGGGAGACUGGAAUUCCUGGUGUAGAGGUGAAAUUCGUAGAUAUCAGGAGGAACACCGGUGGCGAAGGCGGCCAUCUGGACGACUACUGACGCUGAGGCGCGAAAGCGUGGGGAUCAAACAGG